rnacentral:rRNA from 1 species
AGUGAACGCUGGCGGUAGGCCUAACACAUGCAAGUCGAACGGCAGCACAGUAAGAGCUUGCUCUUACGGGUGGCGAGUGGCGGACGGGUGAGGAAUACAUCGGAAUCUACUUUUUCGUGGGGGAUAACGUAGGGAAACUUACGCUAAUACCGCAUACGACCUACAGGUGAAAGCAGGGGAUCUUCGGACCUUGCGCGAUUGAAUGAGCCGAUGUCGGAUUAGCUAGUUGGCGGGGUAAAGGCCCACCAAGGCGACGAUCCGUAGCUGGUCUGAGAGGAUGAUCAGCCACACUGGAACUGAGACACGGUCCAGACUCCUACGGGAGGCAGCAGUGGGGAAUAUUGGACAAUGGGCGCAAGCCUGAUCCAGCCAUACUGCGUGGGUGAAGAAGGCCUUCGGGUUGUAAAGCCCUUUUGUUGGGAAAGAAAAGCAGCAGGUUAAUACCCCGCUGUUCUGACGGUACCCAAAGAAUAAGCACCGGCUAACUUCGUG